AGUAGGUGGGGUAACGGCUCACCUAGGCGACGAUCCCUAGCUGGUCUGAGAGGAUGACCAGCCACACUGGAACUGAGACACGGUCCAGACUCCUACGGGAGGCAGCAGUGGGGAAUAUUGCACAAUGGGCGCAAGCCUGAUGCAGCCAUGCCGCGUGUAUGAAGAAGGCCUUCGGGUUGUAAAGUACUUUCAGCGGGGAGGAAGGGAGUAAAGUUAAUACCUUUGCUCAUUGACGUUACCCGCAGAGGAAGCACCGGCUAACUCCGUGCCAGCAGCCGCGGUAAUACGGAGGGUGCAAGCGUUAAUCGGAAUUACUGGGCGUAAAGCGCACGCAGGCGGUUUGUUAAGUCAGAUGUGAAAUCCCCGGGCUCAACCUGGGAACUGCAUCUGAUACUGGCAAGCUUGAGUCUCGUAGAGGGGGGUAGAAUUCCAGGUGUAGCGGUGAAAUGCGUAGAGAUCUGGAGGAAUACCGGUGGCGAAGGCGGCCCCCUGGACGAAGACUGACGCUCAGGUGCGAAAGCGUGGGGAGCAAACAGGAUUAGAUACCCUGGUAGUCCACGCCGUAAACGAUGUCGACUUGGAGGUUGUGCCCUUGAGGCGUGGCUACCGGAGCUAACGCGUUAAGUCGACCGCCUGGGGAGUACGGCCGCAAGGUUAAAACUCAAAUGAAUUGACGGGGGCCCGCACAAGCGGUGGAGCAUGUGGUUUAAUUCGAUGCAACGCGAAGAACCUUACCUGGUCUUGACAUCCACAGAACUUUCCAGAGAUGGAUUGGUGCCUUCGGGAACUGUGAGACAGGUGCUGCAUGGCUGUCGUCAGCUCGUGUUGUGAAAUGUUGGGUUAAGUCCCGCAACGAGCGCAACCCUUAUCCUUUGUUGCCAGCGGUCCGGCCGGGAACUCAAAGGAGACUGCCAGUGAUAAACUGGAGGAAGGUGGGGAUGACGUCAA
rnacentral:rRNA from 1 species